rnacentral:snRNA from 1 species
GUGCUUGCUUUGACAGCACAUAUACUAAAAUUAGAAUGAAACAGAGAAGAUUGGUUAGCAUGGUCCUGGCACAAGGAUUAUGUAUUCCAUAUCUUU